GUGAGUGGCAGGGGCUCACCCAGAGUGCCAGUCUCCCGAGCCUCGUGCAGCCGUCUCUCGUGCCCUGCCCCGAGUUCCUUCCUCUCCUCGUGUGUUCGUUUGUCUGACAAACACCUCUCGGGCACUUUCUAUCAGCUGGGCGCUGUCCCAAGCUUGUGACUUAGAGGUGGCAAGGUCCUGUUUGGAGGGGAGACCACACACAUCCCCAGAUGGCAGACUCUCAUUCAACUAUCCGUUCGACAGAUAUUCGCUGAGCGCCUACUGUGCGCCAGGCCGUCGGCCAGGUACUGGAGACACAGCAGCGGACAAAAUAGACCCAGGACUGCCCGCACAGAGCUUUCUUCCCUGCGGGAAAGCAGACGAUCGUCACGAUUCCCACUUAACAGACACAGAAACGAACUCAGAGAGUUUAAGGGACUUGCCCAAGGUCACACAGCCUGCCAGAGGCAGCGCUGGGACCAUGAGCCCAUGCUUUUAUUUUAACCUCUGUGCUUUGCCGCUGCCUGGACUGCAGGCUCAACGUGGGGUCCAGUUGGGCACUGGGCGUAGAGAGUGCCACGGACACGGGGUGAACUGGAGUUGGGCACUGUGGUGUCAGAGCCCUGGCUACUCUACUGGAAAACCAGACUGAUUGCCCAUGGGACCCAGGCAGCCCUGGUCCCUCCGUGGAGUGAGGGAGGUGGGCUGUGUGCCUGCGGAGGCCGCUCCAGUGAUGACAGCCAGUGGCGGUCAGGAUGGACAAACACGGCAGAGGAGGAGAGCAGCGCCGCCUGCUGGCCGGAAGGACAACGUCGGUGAUGCUGGCGGAUAAAUGCUGGGACCCACAGACAGAUCUCAGGGACACGGUGACAGAUAUGCACGUGUCUCCUCCCAAUGCACUGGAAGUGAAACUGUGCUGGCUUUGGAGAUACAGGUUGGGGACCGGGCCCAAGACCACUCCUCAGAGAUGACCACCUCCCUCUGGCGAUCCUGGAGUCUCCCCUGCCUGCCAGUUUUGAUCAGG
rnacentral:lncRNA from 1 species